rnacentral:misc_RNA from 1 species
CUCCACGUCAGUGAUGCAUCAAGAGCUUCUUGUGCUUCAACGGAUUCCUGUAUUUGCUACCUAUCGUAAAGGUACGGUGCCUCUAGUUGACCCUUUCCUCCCCCGACUCAUGCGGUUAGGGGAGGGCAUUGUAGCGGUGCCUGUGCCCCCCGCAUCGUGCGUGCUUUGUGGUGCGCACCUUACGACGGUUCUCAGGUUUCUGCUUGAUGUCUCGGAUAUGGAAUAUCUGGUGGGCAUUGGGUGUUCGCACCCUCGAUGUCCGAUUCCAAGCGUUUUGUCGCUAGACAUGUACGACUGUCAUGCUCCGUUGCGGGAUACCCUGCGCGGUCGCUGACGUUGGCAAAGGAAUGCUACCUGGUU